rnacentral:rRNA from 1 species
GUCGAGAAUCUUUCACAAUGGGGGCAACCCUGAUGGAGCGACGCCGCGUGGAGGAUAAGGUCUUCGGAUUGUAAACUCCUGUCAUGCGUGAACAAGGUUGCUUGGUUAAUACCUGGGCAAAUUGAUGGUAACGCAAGAGGAAGAGACGGCUAACUCUGUGCCAGCAGCCGCGGUAAUACAGAGGUCUCAAGCGUUGUUCGGAAUCACUGGGCGUAAAGGGUGCGUAGGUGGCGUGGUAAGUCAGAUGUGAAAGCCCGGGGCUCAACCUCGGAACUGCAUCCGAUACUGCCAUGCUAGAAUACUGGAGAGGUGACUAGAAUUCUCGGUGUAGCAGUGAAAUGCGUAGAUAUCGAGAGGAAUACCAAAGGCGUAGGCAGGUCACUGGACAGUUACUGACACUGAGGCACGAAGGCCAGGGGAGCGAACGGGAUUAGAAACCCUAGUAGUCC